CCUGCCCAAUAGAAGUAUUGCAGUUGUGGCUGCUGUGUCACAUGUGUGUCAGUAGGUGGCAGACAAGAUGCUUUGUCUGUGCUAAGUGUUCUCACAUAUGGACAUUUGAAUGCUUAGUAGCCUAACAUU
ensembl:snoRNA Gm25726 small nucleolar RNA SNORA17